UACGUAGGGGGCAAGCGUUGUCCGGAUUUAUUGGGCGUAAAGAGCGUGUAGGCGGUUUGGUAGGUCCGCUGUGAAAACUCGAGGCUCAACCUCGAGAUGUCGGCGGAAACUGUCUGGCUAGAGUCCGGAAGAGGAGAGUGGAAUUCCUGGUGUAGCGGUGAAAUGCGUAGAUAUCUGGAGGAACACCGGUGGCGAAGGCGGCAUCCUGGACCAAUAUUGACGCUGAGGAGCGAAAGCCAGGGGAGCAAACGGG
rnacentral:rRNA from 1 species